UACGAGAUCGUCUAAUGGUAGGACAACAGGUUCUGGACCUGUUUAUCCUGGUUCGAGUCCAGGUCUCGUAGCCG
rnacentral:tRNA from 1 species